AAUUUUGGACAAUGGGGGAAAGACUGAUCCAGCCAUCCCGCGUGUAUGAUGAAGGCCUUCGGGUUGUAAAGUACUUUUGGCAGAGAAGAAAAGGUAUCUCCUAAUACGAGAUACUGCUGACGGUAUCUGCAGAAUAAGCACCGGCUAACUACGUGACAGCAGCCGCGGUAAUACGUAGGGUGCAAGCGUUAAUAGGAAUUACGUGGCUUAAAGCGUGUGUAGGAGGUUCGGAAAGAAAGAUGUGGAAUCCCAGGGCUCAACCUUGGAACUGCAUUUUUAACUGCCGAGCUAGAGUAUGUCAGAGGGGGGUAGAAUUCCACGUGUAGCAGUGAAAUGCGUAGAUAUGUGGAGGAAUACCGAUGGCGAAGGCAGCCCCCUGAGAUAAUACUGACGCUCAGACACGAAAGCGUUGGGAGCAAACA
rnacentral:rRNA from 1 species